UGCUGAUCAGGUCCAUGUUAUUGUAGAAUAAAGUUUAGUUUAAUAUGCAGCGCUGAUCAGGCCCAUGUUAUUGUAGAAUAAAGUUUAGUUUAAUAUGCAGCGCUGAUCAGGCCCAUGUUAUUGUAGAAUAAAGUUUAGUUUAAUAUGCAAUGCUGAUCAGGCCCAUGUUAUUGUAGAAUAAAGUUUAGUUUAAUAUGCAAUGCUGA